rnacentral:rRNA from 1 species
GGGGGGGGGGGGGGGGGGGGGGAGGAGGGGGGAGGGGGGGGGCGGCACAGGAAGGGCGGGCGGGGACGGGGGGCGAGGGGCGGACGAGGGGGGAAUAGAUCGGAAGCUACUUUUGCGUGGGGGAUAACGUAGGGAAACUUACGCUAAUACCGCAUACGACCUACGGGUGAAAGCAGGGGAUCUUCGGACCUUGCGCGAUUGAAUGAGCCGAUGUCGGAUUAGCUAGUUGGCGGGGUAAAGGCCCACCAAGGCGACGAUCCGUAGCUGGUCUGAGAGGAUGAUCAGCCACACUGGAACUGAGACACGGUCCAGACUCCUACGGGAGGCAGCAGUGGGGAAUAUUGGACAAUGGGCGCAAGCCUGAUCCAGCCAUACCGCGUGGGUGAAGAAGGCCUUCGGGUUGUAAAGCCCUUUUGUUGGGAAAGAAAAGCAGCAGGUUAAUACCCCGCUGUUCUGACGGUACCCAAAGAAUAAGCACCGGCUAACUUCGUG